UACGUAGGUGGCAAGCGUUGUCCGGAUUUACUGGGUGUAAAGGGCGUGCAGCCGGAGAGGCAAGUCAGAUGUGAAAUCCGCGGGCUCAACUCGCGAACUGCAUUUGAAACUGCUUCCCUUGAGUAUCGGAGAGGUAAUCGGAAUUCCUAGUGUAGCGGUGAAAUGCGUAGAUAUUAGGAGGAACACCAGUGGCGAAGGCGGCUUACUGGACAGUAACUGACGUUGAGGCUCGAAAGCGUGGGGAGCAAACAGG
rnacentral:rRNA from 1 species